UGAACCCUACGGGACGCAGCAGUGAGGAAUAUUGGUCAAUGGUCGGGAGACUGAACCAGCCAAGCCGCGUGAGGGAGGAAGGUACAGAGUAUCGUAAACCUCUUUUGUCAGGGAACAAAGACUGGGACGCGUCCCCGGAUGAGUGUACCUGAAGAAAAAGCAUCGGCUAACUCCGUGCCAGCAGCCGCGGUAAUACGGAGGAUGCGAGCGUUAUCCGGAUUUAUUGGGUUUAAAGGGUGCGCAGGCGGUCUGUUAAGUCAGCGGUCAAAGCCCGGGGCUCAACCCCGGCCCGCCGUUGAAACUGG
rnacentral:rRNA from 1 species